rnacentral:rRNA from 1 species
UAGCGGAAGGGUCACACCCGUUCCCAUCCCGAACACGGCCGUUAAGCCUUCCAGCACGGAUGGUACUGCUGAGGAAACUCGGUGGGAGAGUACGUCGCCGCCAG